GGUGGCGGCCGGCGCACGGGUGCGUAACGCGUAUGUAACCUACCUAUAACAGGGGCAUAACACUGAGAAAUUGGUACUAAUUCCCCAUAAUAUUCGGAGAGGCAUCUCUCCGGGUUGAAAACUCCGGUGGUUAUAGAUGGACAUGCGUUGUAUUAGCUAGUUGGUGAGGUAACGGCUCACCAAGGCAACGAUACAUAGGGGGACUGAGAGGUUAACCCCCCACACUGGUACUGAGACACGGACCAGACUCCUACGGGAGGCAGCAUG
rnacentral:rRNA from 1 species